CGGCACCUUUCCUCGAUUUGAGUGCACAGGGCACACUGGGGCUGCAUGUCUUGAACGUCAAUUGAGACACGAGGCCCGAGCGCGCAGGGCACGCCUCGGCUCCAUAUUUGCAAUGCUGACCGGCACCUUCUUCGGUCUGAGUGCGUAGGGCGUGCAGGGGCUGGAUGUCUUGGAUGCUAGCUGAGACCCGAGGCCCGAUGGCACAAGGUCACCU
rnacentral:lncRNA from 1 species